UGAGAGAAAGCAUCUAGGUGCGUUUUCAGAGUGGACCAGCUUCAUGCUGUGACAGACCAGGCCAACCCACGGAAAGCCACUAAAUAUUUACGGAAGGGAAAUCCAGAGGCAAAGAUGAAAGAGAAAACGUAUAAGCAUAAUGGAACUGGAUUUCCAUACGGACGGCUGUCUGUUGGACUGGGCAUGCAGCUUCAUCGCAGAUAGACCCUUUCCUCCCACCAGAGAACUUUACACAGGACCAGUCGUUCUAACACACCCUUUUAUGUUGUUGUAUAGUAAACCUCACCACUCAUAGUACUACACUUUCUAUUAGAAGACUCUACAUCUACCAGUUUUUCGACAUACAAUGCAUGAAGGAGCACAGAGCAAGCCCGGGAGUGCUCCUGACAAGCCAGCGAUGGCUCAGGAGGUAAAGGUGCUUGUGGCCAAGACUGAUGACCUGAGUUUCAACCAAGAACCCACAGGAUGGAUGGAGAGAGCCACUUCCUGCCCUCUGACUUCCAUAUCCCUGCCGUGGGUGUGUGAGGAGAAGAUUCAACUAAAAAAAAAAUCGAGG